rnacentral:tRNA from 1 species
GAGGGCCCAGCUUAGUGGUAGAGUGCAUGCCUAGCAUGCACAAGGUCCUGGGUUCAGUCCCCAGCACCCUCA